ACGGGAGGCAGCAGUGGGGAAUAUUGGACAAUGGAGGAAACUCUGAUCCAGCGACGCCGCGUGAGUGAAGAAGUAUUUCGGUAUGUAAAGCUCUAUCAGCAGGGAAGAUAAUGACGGUACCUGACUAAGAAGCCCCGGCUAACUACGUGCCAGCAGCCGCGGUAAUACGUAGGGGGCAAGCGUUAUCCGGAUUUACUGGGUGUAAAGGGAGCGUAGACGGUUUGGCAAGUCUGAAGUGAAAGCCCGGGGCUCAACCCCGGUAUUGCUUUGGAAACUGUUGAACUAGAGUGCCGGAGGGGUAAGCGGAAUUCCUAGUGUAGCGGUGAAAUGCGUAGAUAUUAGGAGGAACACCAGUGGCGAAGGCGGCUUACUGGACGGUAACUGACGUUGAGGCUCGAAAGCGUGGGGAGCAAACAGGAUUAGAUACCCUGGUA
rnacentral:rRNA from 1 species